rnacentral:lncRNA from 1 species
GUUCGUGAUGCUACUCACUUUUAAGUUUUCUAUAAAGUGUUUUAUGGUGGAUUUUUUAGCAUGGUGUUUCUUCGACUGGUAUCUUCCAUUUCUUUUUUGUCAAGUUACGAAUUGGAUAUUGCAACAAACAAAAACAUACAUUAAUAAAUUUAUCAAUAAACCAGUUGUUGGCAUGACACGGGUUAUGUUCUUCUCAUAUAUGUUAUGAUGGUAUGAUACUAAACCCCUCACGGGGAGGAUUGUGCCUGAUAUUCAUAUGAUGAAGACAUAAUUUUUCAAUCAGUUUAAUUGAAGUCCGGAGCUGGCAGAACACUCACAGAAUCGAUUUUUAAGUCAUCUAUCGAGAGACGAACUUAAAAUUAAUCUAUAUUCGACGAUUAUCUGUCUUUUAGUUUAUGGAAUGUACAAGUACCCGUUCACGUCCAUUUUGUGUUUUUGUAAUAUGUAUUUCUAUUUGUAUCCAUCUGAUGAGUUAAACCUUUUUGAAUUGAUUUUCACUGUUUGUUUUUAAGUUGUACUGUUAUACCCAUGUCCUAUGUGAGGGGAGAGUGGAGCUCUCACAAACGAGUUAAACCCCGCUAUAUUUUUAAUGUGCCUGUCCCAAGUCAAGAGCCUGUUGGUUUUCAUUGAAUCAUGUCUGUCAUAUUUUUUUUUCGUAUUUCGUAAGCUGUUUCUUUUAUUAUAAAUUCGGCCAUUAGUUAUUCUCAAUUGAAUUGUUUCGUAUUUUUUUUAUAUGUCGGAACCUUUUAAAGCCGACCAUACGGUAUAGGGUUUUCUCAUUGUUGUAGGCCAUACGGUUUUCUAUAAUUGCUUUCAUCCACUUCUUUAUAUUUUUCGAACUUAUUUAAAUUUUUUACUGAAUCAAUAGAUCUAAACUUUUACAGGAUUUUCUCACUUUACAUACGUUUUUUUUAAUGAUAGCAUCAAACGGAUUAAGAUUUAUCAUUUUCCAUUUUUACCUAGUAUCUCUGUUAUUUGAUAUUCAGUUGACUUUAAAAUUUAUUUAUAAAGUAUUUGCAUUAAAGUUAAACGUAGUUUUACAAAAGGAUGAUUUAGGAUUAAAACGCCUACUGUUACGGAAUUAAUUGAGAUUCUUUUAUCAUUAAUAUGUUAAUUACGUAGCAUGAUUGAUUCUUGAG